CCUACUAUUAAAAUUAUUGACUGAUCAUUUCUUUGUAAGUGGGCAAACGUACAAAAUCAGCAGGGGAUCAAAUACUUUUCACCCCACUGUAGUAGGCCGGUGACGACGACCGCCGAGCACCACCCGAGCAGGAAGGGGAGCCACCUUCGGUAGGAGUCGUGACAGCUUUACAUCCCCCCCAUCCAAAUUAACAUGAAAAUUAUGCAAUAGCCUACAGUUUCUAUCGCCAUUUUGAACUUCUAAUGCGGUAGGGAAAAUAUCCCACUGGGCACAUACGUCAAUUCAACAUCUAUUCCACGUUGGUUCAACAUAAUUGAUUUGAAAUGACAUGGUGUGUGUGGGAAGGAAGUGAGUGGUUUGUGACGCACAAGAGCAACCGUGGGUUAAUGCUCAAUCUGAUUGAAUCAAGCCUCUAAUUUUAGAAGAAGAUAAAAAGGUCUGGAGUACAGCAGUCUAUAUGGAAACUAGUGAUGCGUUGCCACUAGUGAUGCAUUUUUUUUUCAUGGGUGGAGUUGCCUGGCAGCAGACUGGGAUGUGGGUGAAGAAAGCAGGUACUAGUUGCAGCAGACUUGGCACUGGAGGAAGCAGGUUAGACUUUAGUGGGAGCAGCCUGGGUGGGGCACGCAGCAGGUUAGACUGUAGUGGGAGCAGCCUGGGUGGGGCACGCAGCAGGUUAGACUGUAGUGGGAGCAGCCUGGGUGGGGCACGCAGCAGGUUAGACUGUAGUGGGAGCAGCCUGGGUGGGGCAUGCAGCAGGUUAGACUGUAGUGGGAGGAGCCUGGGUGGGGCACGCAGCAGGUUAGACUGUAGUGGGAGGAGCCUGGGUGGGGCACGCAGCAGGUUGGACUGUAGUGGGAGCAGCCUGGGUGGGGCACGCAGCAGGUUAGACUGUUGUGGGAGGAGCCUGGGUGGGGCACGCUGCAGGUUGGACUGUAGUGGGAGCAGCCUGGGUGGGGCACGCAGCAGGUUAGACUGUAGUGGGAGGAGCCUGGGUGGGGCACGCAGCAGGUUAGACUGUAGUGGGAGGAGCCUGGGUGGGGCACGCAGCAGGUUGGACUGUAGUGGGAGCAGCCUGGGUGGGGCACGCAGCAGGUUAGACUGUAGUGGGAGGAGCCUGGUGGGGCUGGCAUCAGAGAAGUCAGUAGUGGUGGUGGUGAAGUCAUCCAGAACACUACCAACUGUGGGGUCCAUUGCAUAGUCCUCAAAAUCAGUCUCCUCCGACUCAGGGCCCAUAGCCUGCAUGGCCUUCCCAGUCUGCCUGAGCAGGUAGUCCACACACCAAUCAACUCUCCUGAAAAUGAAACAAGACAAAAAUGUAUAUGAAUAUGAAUAUGAUUACUCACAAUAUCUUCAUCAUAUCAAAACACUGAUUGUCACAUCUGCUCCCACUCCCCCUCUUUGGUGCUCGAGGUCACCAGUUCACUCAUUACGCACACCUGCCACCAUCGUUACACACACCUGCGCUUAAUUAUGGUACUCACCUGGACUCCAUCAUGUCAUUUACCUUCCCUAUAUCUGUCACUUCCUCAGUUUCAUUCCCGAGUCAGCAUUGAUAUAGUUAUGUUUCUCCUGUCCAGACGCUC
rnacentral:lncRNA from 1 species